AUCAGGAAGAGGAGGAAAAUGAGCAUCUAAGAGCAUUGGGCAUGGGAACAUGGAGGAAGGCCUAAACUAGUGUGUCCCUGUGCAACUAGGGUCGAACAUUUGUUUUGGAAAUUUCCCGAUGCCUCCCAUGCCUAUUGUUCUUAGGUGUUUGAUAACCCACAAGUAUAGG
rnacentral:pre_miRNA from 1 species